GGAAUGAUGGUGACCUAAACCCUCACCAGAGUAACAAUUGGAGGGCAAGUCUGGUGCCAGCAGCCGCGGUAAUUCCAGCUCCAAUAGCGUAUAUUAAACUUGUUGCAGUUAAAAAGCUCGUAGUUGAAUUUUUGCGUGGUGUUAAUAUUGACUGAUGUCGAGAUUGCACUUCGCUUUUGGGAUUUUUCCCUUUUUACUUUGAGAAAAUUAGAGUGUUUCAAGCAGACUUUUGUCUUGAAUACUUCAGCAUGGAAUAAUAGAGUAGGACUUUGGUUCUAUUUUGUUGGUUUGUGAACCUUAGUAAUGGUUAAUAGGAACGGUUGGGGGCAUUCGUAUUUAACUGUCAGAGGUGAAAUUCUUAGAUUUGUUAAAGACGAACUACUGCGAAAGCAUUUGCCAAGGACGUUUUCAUUAAUCAAGAACGAAAGUUAGGGGAUCGAAGACGAUCAGAUACCGUCGUAGUCCUAA
rnacentral:rRNA from 1 species